CUUCGUCUUCAUCUUCUUCGGAGUCGCCGACUUCCUGUGCAGGUCGUGAUGAUGGGCU
rnacentral:antisense_RNA from 1 species